CGAAGACACUCAUGGUGGCUAAACAACAACACCAGGACUGUCUCUCAGGUAUGUGGACGUUGUAAGACCUCACCUGGCCGGCUAAUUAAGGAUAUGGAUCAGCCAG